AUUGAACGCUGGCGGCGUGCUUAACACAUGCAAGUCGAUCGGUAACAGGUGUAGCAAUACAUGCUGACGAGAGGCGGACGGGUGAGUAAUGCUUGGGAAUCUGCCUAUUAGUGGGGGACAACCCGGGAAACUCGGGCUAAUACCGCAUACGCUCUACGGAGGAAAGCCGGGGACCGCAAGGCCUGGCGCUAAUAGAUGAGCCCAAGUCGGAUUAGCUAGUUGGUAGGGUAACGGCCUACCAAGGCGACAAUCCGUAGCUGGUCUGAGAGGACGACCAGCCACACCGGAACUGAGACACGGUCCGGACUCCUACGGGAGGCAGCAGUGGGGAAUAUUGGACAAUGGGGGCAACCCUGAUCCAGCGACGCCGCGUGGGUGAAGAAGGCCUGCGGGUUGUAAAGCCCUUUCGGUGGGGAAGAAAAGUCUCGACCUAAUACGUCGGGACCUUGACGUAACCACUAAAGAAGCACCGGCUAACU
rnacentral:rRNA from 1 species